GACAUGCAAUUAUAUUCAUUCAACAAGACAAUACAAAUUUCCAACAAUCUGGUCUAAUUUCAAAAAGCAAAACUAAUAACAAAACAUCACAAGCAUAUUUACAAGGUGCUAUAAGCAUAAUCAUUUAAUAAAAAUCAAGUAACAUGACAUAAUUGAAACUGCACUACUACAUGAUUUUAAUCUCCAACACUACACCACUACUUCCAGGAAGCUUUUAAGACCUAGGUAAUUCCUGCUAAAAAGCCUCAAUCGAUAGUAACACGAACUAACUGCCAAACCUGCAAAGAAUCCAAAACACAAAGUAUGAAUAGAUCAUUUCAUAUUCAUCAAGUACAACAAAAAAUCAAGUUUUGGUUACAUGAGUAGACAAGGAGCAAUCCGUUAGCACAUUUCUCAGUUACAUGCGCAACUCUAACAUAUACAUACAAUUUGAAAUCUAUCGCUCAUACACGUAUACAUCAUGCUCAUGAAUGUAUCUUGUUCUUAAACUUCUAGUGUUAAAAUAGCAUGGCAGAUAUUUCAAACUAAAAUAGUAGCUAUAUUGUCUUGGCAUUUUACUUUUAUAUAGUUUUAUAUAUUGUUGCUAACAAACAAGUUAGGAGAUGACAAAAGAGUUUGGGAUAUGUAUUUACCUCCUGUCACUACAUAGCAUGAGUACUUUGCCGAUUCCUCGUAUCUUAACUUCUCAACAACUCGAGAAGUUUCUCUUUACCAUAGCUCAAAAGGAAAUAUAUAAUGUUAAUGACGUGGAAUGCAUUCGACUACAAUACUUUUAUGGAAUUGCAGGAAAUAAGUGGAUUAAUAACCUGCUAGUUGAUGCUAUGCUGUUCCACUUCCACAGCUUCUUAAAUGCCUAAAAGAAUCAGCAACUCAAAUAAUUCAGUGGAUAAUCAUUGCACAGCAUAGGUUACAAUUAUACAUACAGAAUAUUGAUCCAUAUCAAGAUAAGAAAGAACACAACUAAGACAACUCGCGUGAGAAGUGUCAGUCAUUAAGCAUACACUAUGGCAUAGGAACAAAACAACGAGAUGGCUAAAUAAUAACCAGCAGGUGCACAUUGUUGUAGAACACACCUAGAAUAAAAUUGUAUUAUUUCCCCAUUAUAUUGCCGUUGUUCUUGUAAGUAAAUUUCUCUCAAGGUCGUUAUUACAAUCAGGUUGUUAACAUCACAAUAAACUUCAAAUCUGAGUUUGUGCCGACAAUAUAAAACUACAAUGGCAUGCCACUACUAUAAGAAACCGUGCAUCCCUGCAAAUGACAAACAAAGAUAGUGAGAUGCCAGAUGCAGCUUGAAGUGUACUGUAACCUGAAGAGAAUCAACCCUUACGAGCAUGUUUAUUGAAGGAAAAACAGAUAUGGAGAAGAUAAGAACUUACUCUAUAGCUCCCGAGAAAUUCAGAGGUCCAUCUAAGAUCUGCAUGUUGCAAAGAAACUCUUUUAACAACAUCAAGGAGACGGUGUUCCUCAAGUGUGUCCUGUCUAUCAAGAACUUGCUCCUGUUGUACAUUUGCAUAGACAAAGAAAAUUAAAUAAGUAAAUCUAUAUCCUAUUAGAAGAAAAAGAGAGAACAAAAAAUAGGACGACAGGUCGUGAUCCCAUCCGUCCAGCACUCGCUGCCCUACAUAUAAUUUUCAGGUUAUACUGCUUAUCCUAGGGCGGAAGAUACUGCAAUGUAAUACUCCUUCCAUCCCAAAUUUUCAGGUUAUAUUUAGCUAAUAGAGUAGACAUAGUGGACAAUGAUUACAGGCACAUGAAUCAUUGAAGAGACAAUUAUUUUGGUGAUCACGGACACUUCAUCAGACCUAUUAUUCAGACAACCCAUUUGGUGUAGCAAGUUGUUUUAGUAUUAUAAAGCUCCUCUAUGUUUUGGUAUUAUAAAGCUCCUGUGUGUUUUAGUAUUAUAAAGCUCCUCUGUGUUUUUCAUAUAUGUCUAUACUUUUGUUUGUAGCAGUGCCACCAAUUAUACAGAUUACUCUAUAUAUAAGAAGCCACUCAUAUUAAGGAUGAACCGAUGGUUGCAGAAUUUUUUAAUGAAUGGUGGUUGCUGAAUUCUUCAGUGAUUACAGUAAGAUAAAAAUCAUAUAAACCAGCUUUACUUCUUUCAUUAUUUUAAUAACACGGAUUAGCAUUAUUUUGUUCCCAUAAAUUAUCAGCAAAAGCGCAAAUAAGGAUGUGUUCGCUAAUGUCCACCUUAAGUGUUCUAAGUUUCAGCUGAAUUUCUCAAAGUCAAAGAAUAUGAAACACAGAGAAAUCUCAUAUGAUUGUCUAAGAUAGCUUACUUGGCUAUUUCUCCUCUGAUUUAGCCUCUAAAUUAGAUGUUUUCAAAGAUAUCUCUCAAUUAACUUUGUUUGACUAGAUGCACUACAACAAAAUAUUACCUUCAGUGAAAUAUUACCUUAACCAGAUUGCCUCGAGGAGACACGCACCACGGAUGGGGAAGACCUACCGGAGGCGUCAGAGUGGAAGAAGAAUCACCGUGGCAUUGCUCUGUUUUGUAGCUGUGCAUGUCAAGAAGUGCACACAUCAGGAAACCAAUCAUAUACAUGACACGCUGAAAGAAUAUAUGCCAUAGCAACAAUGGAAUUAAACACAAACCACCAACAGUAGUACUAGUACUUUUGUCUAGUUUGGAUCAUCACUUAAAAAUACAAGAACAAUCAUCAAGGGAACAAAAUAAUGAUGGCGUGCAUAAGCAGAGGAAAUAGGAAGUUAAUCACAUUCAACAACUAGUACAAAUCAGGACCUGAAUCAACAUAGUAAACUAACAGCCUAAACAGGUUGUCAUCGUGAAGAUAAUCCAAAAUAAUUAAACAGGUUGUCAUGUCUAAAUCAACAGUCCAAAACUGAAUGUUUUUUCCAAAUAGAUCAAGGUUUUCUUCUUGUUCUUCUAUUUAACAAGCAACCAUCAGUGAAGCAAGCAAGCAGUAGGCUAUGUUCAUUCUAUCUGUGGAGCAUGAAGCAAGCAGCAGGCUGCAUAAUAAUAAAAAAUAGAACAAAAGCUAGCCAUUAAGAUCCUACGGACCAGCAGCGUAAAUCUCUCCGGUUGAACACUUGCAGGAGAGGGCUGGGUUCCGGCGGAAGAUGACGCAAACCAGAGAGGUUAUUUUACACUUGCAGGAGAGGGCUGGGUUCCGACAGCGGUUGACGGACAAUUGGACCCAGCGACAAGGAUCGUACAUGCACUCUAGAUCCAUGGACGUGUAACCACCAUUUGUAACUCACCUUCACUCAACGUCGGAUGGAGAUGGUUCUGUUUCCCCCGCCGCCGACCUCGAGGACUUCCAAAUCCGGUCCCUCCCGUAGCCGCCGACCUCGGGGACUUCCGAAUCCUGCACUCUAUCCUGCAGCCAGCGACCUCGGUGAGUUCCUAAUCCCGCACUCAGUCCCGCCGCCGCCACUGUCACCUCAUCUCAGUGGUAGGGCUAGGCCACCGUAACUCAAGGGGGCGGUCUAAAUAGGCUGGGCACGACCAGGGGAAGACGGGGAGGGCUCUAGUGCGGGGUGGAUUGGGGCUGGCACCACCGGCGACGACAUGGAGAGGGGCAGGGAGGAUAGGUGGAGCGGCGGCGGCUGGUAGUUGGGGAUGGGAG
rnacentral:lncRNA from 1 species